GAAUUUGCAGUUGGCUGCAUACUAUCCAUUAAAACCACUCUUGAAGAAGAAUUCCAAGCGCAAGUCAUCGCCUUUGACCGCCCCUCAAACCUCCUCAUCCUUCAUAUCCUUCAAAAAUUCAGUCUUUAUGAAUUUACAUGUAUGACGAUUUGAAUUUUGUUAUCUUUGAUUAUUUAUUUAUUAUUAUUAUUUUUGGAUAGUUCUUUAACUUUGGAUAGGAAAAUACAAGAGGGAGUGAAAUCUGGGCCAGUUUCAAAGAGGAAUAUAAGAUUACUCAAGGCUAAUUAUGUGAAGGAAUUCAAUUUUUUGGGUCGAGGUGAGGAUCCUCUUGAUCCCGAUAAGUGUUUUCUUGAUCUCAAUACCCUUCAAGCCCGUGAGGACUCAGCUAUUAGGUAAAGGUCCAACUUUUUUUGCAUACCUAUUUGUGCAUUUUCACAAGUUUUUUGCAUUGAUUUUGUGGGUAAAUUUGUAAUGUCCAUACGUGUUCUACAGUGAUUUUUUUUUUGGGUUGUGGGUGGGGUGGGGUGUUCAUUGUUUAUGGGUUUUGGGUGUUUAAUUGUGCGGUUAUUUUUGUGGGUUGUGUGUGAAUUGCAUUGCAGACAAGCGGAGGCAGAGGCAGAUAGGAUUGGAGUGGGUGUUACUGCUGAGGGUCAGAAUAUUUUUGAUGCUCUGUCUAAAACGUAACGUGCAUCUUCCCUCUUUUAUGGUGUUUGUUUUUUCAAUGAGCCAAUGAUAAUAAUAGUAGUUCUUCCCUAAUCUUUUUGGCAAUGAUAUAUCCACCAAAAAAUGCGAGCUGACCUGUGUGAAGCUUUAGUUUUGUUGCCUGCCAGAGCUCCCAGCUGACCAUCAGCUACCCCUUUUGAGCAGAUUGCCCUUAUUUAGUUUAAACUGAAUCUAGAUAGAUGAGUGGAUGGAACUUUAUGCUUUUGAUCGAGUAAGGAGGCUGUUAGAGAAAUGAGCAUAGGACCAAAUAUUUCCUGAUGAAGAGAAGCAAAGUGGUAUAUUGUCAUUGCAAACAAAUCGGAUUUGUGUUUAAUGCUAUGGUCAUUGUCCAUUUUGACGUUGCUAAUGCACAAAGGAGAUAUAUUUCGACCAAUGAAAAGAAUUCUUAUGCUGAAUGUCACAAAUGCUGGAAAGCAAAUAAUAAAUAACACUGCUGGAAGAAGAAUUUGAUUCUUG
rnacentral:lncRNA from 1 species